UGCAGUCGAGGGGCAGCACGGGUAGCAAUACCUGGUGGCGACCGGCGCAAGGGUGCGUAACGCGUGAGCAACAUGCCCUAUACAGGGGGAUAAUCCAGGGAAACUUGAUCUAAUAUCCCAUAGUAUUUAGAGGAGGCAUCUUCUAUAAAUUAAAGCUUCGGUGGUAUAGGAUUGGCUCGCGUGACAUUAGCUAGAUGGUGAGGUAACGGCUCACCAUGGCAAUGAUGUCUAGGGGUUCUGAGAGGAAGGCCCCCCACACUGGGACUGAGACACGGCCCAGACUCCUACGGGAGGCAGCAGUGAGGAAUAUUGGACAAUGGAUGGAAAUCUGAUCCAGCCAUGCCGCGUGCAGGAAGACAGCCCUAUGGGUUGUAAACUGCUUUUAUAUGGGAGCAAUAAGGUCUACGUGUAGACUGAUGAGAGUACCAUAUGAAUAAGCAUCGGCUAACUCCGUGCCAGCA
rnacentral:rRNA from 1 species